UGCAUCCCAGGCACUGACAGCAUACUGCUCCAACACUAUCCACACCACUGUCAGUCCAGCAUCCUUCACUGCAUCUCGCGCACUGCCAGCACCCUCCCACACUCUCACUGCAUCUCGCGCACUGCCAGCACCCUCCCACACUCUCACUGCAUCUCUCGCACUGCCAGCACCCUCCCACUCUCUCACUGCAUCUCGCGCACUGCCGGCACCCUCCCACACUCUCACUGCAUCUCGCGCACUGCCAGCACCCUCCCACACUCUCACUGCAUCUCGCGCACUGCUAGCACCCUCCUCCCACUCUCUCACUGCAUCUUUCGCACUGCCAGCACCCUCCCACACUCUCACUGCAUCUCGCGCACUGCCAGCACACUCUCACGGCAUCUCGCGCACUACCAGCACCUUCCUCCAUUCUCACUGCAGAAUUAUCAACAAUCACUGCAUGUCACUAUCUCACUAUUGACAUCCAGUGCUGAACCAGAAUCCCAAUCAGCCACCAGCUUCCCUCCAGUGCCAACAUGUUUCUUUACUCUCCACAUCCCAAGACAUGAUAAACAUCUUCUAACCACUGCCUGAAUCUUAGAGCGCUCCCAGCACUCACACUAUGGCUUUCCUUAUAUCCAUAGCAUCCCUCCCUACUGCCACUCACAGCUUCCCACACUGCUGUCACAAUGUAUCAGGGCUACUUUUCAUUUCCCAGCCUCUAUCUAGGGGGCUCCAAUGCCAUCAUCUUCCAUUCUUAUACCUGAACCGUUCCCAUCUCAAUGCACUUCACUCUCUCUACUCUGGUACCCAACUACAUCCUCAGCAUCACUGCAUCCCAAGCUCCCAGCGCACUCUCAGCAUCUCUAACACUUCUAUGUCAACAUUGACAGUCCCAAAAUAGCCUGUACUCCUGGAUUCCCAGCGCUCAGCCAGCAUAUUACUGCAACUCCUUAACUCACAGCUUCCAGAAAUCCUGCCGACACCUCAACAUAACCCAGGAAACCCAGAAUCCUGCUACACAAUCCCAAGAUCAUCGAGCAUUCUCUCAAGAGAAUCUUCAGCUUCCUUCUCAGAACAUCUUCACAACAUCUUCCAACUCGAGGACUCAGCAAUGCAGUCAUGUGUGUCUUAGCUUCUCUCUUCGCUUAUCUCUUCUAUAUAGUCCAUUAUAUAAUGGUCCAUUGCUCAAUCCAGAAGACAAAUUUGAACUUGAACAAAAUUCGGCUUCCAAAAUUGUUCAAAUCACUUUUUGUGGAUCUAGAUGAUUUUCUUUACGUGGUUAAGCCAUUGCCACGACUGCAAACCAAACCCUGCCAGGUAUGUGCAGCUUCCUAUUUAAUUGUCCAAUUCAGAAAAAAAAUAAAAAUAAUAUUAAAGGAGAAUAUGGUUAGUGGCUGGUUAGAGAGGCUGGAUCCAAAACAUACAGCCACCUGCCAGAUAUUUCCAAGUUUAAAGGAUGUUCUGAUGGGUUUUACUGACUGCUUGAAAGGUUUUUUUCUCUCCCUGUCUUGGAGUUAAAUGGGAUCUCAUAAGUUAUCCCUGUGCCAUUGAGAUAGGGGUAACUAAUAGGCGUGUAUAAAAAGAAAAAUAGAUCAUGCAGUGCCUACACAAAAGAUAUCAAUGCACUCUGGACAAUGAAUGGAGAAUUUCUCUUAGGAUUUCUGCACACGUCUACAACAGCUUGGACUGUUCUGAGAACCACAAUUGAAUCCCAGACACCAUCUUUUGAGAGCUGUGUGAAAAUAAGUAUAAGACAUCAAAUUAUUACAACUAAGUUAAGUGAGGGCUUCUCUCCCUCCCCCUCACCAGUCCUAUUCCUCCUAAUUCAGCCACCCUCCCAUCACCCCCCUCCCCCCCAUUUUCCCUUCCUUACACACUCAUGCUAUAUAUCUCAUCCUAUGUAUUGCUGGGGGAUCACACAAGUCUACUCAACUCAAGUUUUUUUCCAAAGGAUUUAGACCAAAAUGAAAAUCCAACCAUUAUAUAUGAAGAUAAUCUACAGGAGUUCCACUGCAGGACGUAUAAUGGGAGCAAAGGAGGAUAUACCAAGCCAACAAUUCGACAAGAACAAGUACAUCACCACAUAAACAGAAUAUCGUGUGCACGAGGUGCCAGUGACAACAGGCACAGGUAAGCUUGAUGUGCAAAUAUAAGAUGUUCCAUCACAGAAUCUCCGUGGGAUACAUUAACAUCGCUGCCAACAAUAUAACUGCAGAUGAGCUUUAUUGAAUGUAAUCCAACCUGUCAAAUAGCCAUCCAAGAUUAAAACAAAAGGAUGUGAAGAGCUAGUGAAAUACAUCAGAAUGAACAUACAUGGUACCGCAACAAUUUUAAGUGAAAAAAUCCAUCCCACAAAACCAGGAUUGCUAAACGUGAAAUUACUAAAGGUGAUUAUGGAGAAGAAUUUUAAGAGUCACACUGGGUCACAAGAGAAGAGACAACAUGUAUAAUAUUAAUUAUAUAACAUAAUUAUAUGACACAUUAUACACCAUAGAUAACAAUGUAUUCUACAAGAGAACUGAGGACAUAUUGGAGUGUUCUAGGGAGAGGUACGAUCUAUAGAGUAUAAGAAUGUGCUAUAAAUAUUGUGCAUUAGGAGUUAGUGACCAAUUUCAGGUGCUAUAGAAGUUUUGGAUUUGUAUAAAGGAAACACAAAGGAGAACGUGCAAUUGGCAAUAGAAAGAGUUACAUAAAUGGAUGGACAGUGUCAGACGGUCAGACCUAUGACUACUAUACUGAAGAUUUAGUGCACAGAAGAUGUGACUGCUCUCUGUGCUGACUUUUCUCUGUCCUGUUAAUCCAACCUGGACCUCCCACCACGGGAGCGCUCAUCCAUAUGACAUCCUACUGAAAGAAGCUGCAGCUUACAAGUGAUUUCGGGAUUUCAAGGGGUCUGAGCCAUGGAUAAAACUCCAGUCUUGCUCUCUACAAGGAUUAAAGGUUUUACUCUGCUAUUAACUCAUUUUCUGCCUGAAAUUGAAAGCAGGCAUUCCUGAACCCCUAGGCAGCUACAUGUGAAGUAGGGUCUGGUAAAUAAAGUGUCAAUGUUAGGACAUAAGCAAAUGCCAUUAAUGCUACAAGACAAGUUCUGAUUCCAAGUGCCAUUUUAAUCUAUCCCAUACAGUAAGAGUGAUCAAAAGGUACAUCUCCAGAGGAGGGACAGUCCAUAUUUUGGAUCCAAAUCCCUCUGUCCAUCUUUUAUAUCGUAAUGCUCCUCUCUUCUAGAAGCUCACAUUGUUGGUGUGUCUGAGUGUAUAAAAGAGCUCUACAGAAUUAAUACUCAUAGCAAUGUGUCUUUAAACUACAAUAAAUGAGUUUAGAAAUCAGCCUGUGUAAAUAAGAUACAUUGUUCUUGUGCUAAAUGAUAUUUUCAUUUCAUAAACUUUUAAAGGUAAGUCACCAAAAAUGGCUCAGAACAUAACAUCCCCUGGCCACACCCCCACUGACACUCCUAAAAUUAAAGUGUCCCUUUUUUGUCCACUUAAAAUCCUGGUAGGUGUGCCCGAUGUUGUAGAACUACAGCUCCCAUAAUGCUUUGCCAGCUUCAAAGCAACAUAGUAGUAGUUAUUCUACAAAAAGCUGGGGAUCCACCUUUUGGCCACCCUAACAUACAGCAUUUUUAAUGGUACUUGUAAAUGCGUAGCACAACAUAUUGCGCAUUAAGCUUUUUAGAAGAAAUAGCACAAUUAAAAUGCAAUGGGGAUAUUGACCUUUACCAUGCAUGAGAUGGUAAAACAAGGAGUCGAACAACUAAGUGCUUUCAUAUGAAAGGAAAAUUCAUGAAGCACUUGGAAGCAGCCAUAAACUCACUAGUAGUUAGUACAUAAAAACUCCAAUUAACCAGCUAAUUAUGUGCUGGAAAGCAUCUGGUCUAAUGACACAAGAAGCCGUAAAGACGAGGAGUCCAUAAAAGAGCGAGAAGUUCUUAGCCAUAACGUGGAACCAUCUUCAAACAGUUUGUCAAUUUAAUUGGCUAAUCUAAUUAACUAGGCAGAACAAAAGUCUUUCUUUGUUUCCUCCAAAUAUACACAUUCUGGUUUACCAAACUCAAUGAGAGAUACAAACACAUAAGAGAGAGAAGGGUAAUUGAUUAAAUAGACUGUUUAUUUUACACCCUCAGGUAUGAGGCCAAAGAUAGCAGUGCCAGAUCAUACUUGACAAGCACAGGCUUAACUGGAGGUACGAAGAAGAGAUCACCAUGUUUAAAGAACACUGGUGGGAACAUUUAUAAGGACUAUUUUGAUUGCAGAAUAAGAGCAGUUUUGUGGAUUUUUUUUUAAAGUUGAGCAAUUACAAUGGAAUCCAAUGGAAUGGUCUUACUGAUUACUCUCUUUUAGAAUUAUGCUCCCGAAUCGGACAUUAGCCCUUACAAAUAAUCCCCAUUGUGUAACAAGCUAUCUAAAACAAAGUAGGGGAACAUUUCACAAAUUGCCUUUUCUUAACCAAUACAAAGGUGAUAGAUAUUUCAACAAACCAUCAGCCUGAAUAAGGUAUGCACUUACUAGGACAAACAUAGGCAGCAGUUUUUGAACUGCAAUCUUUAAAUUCUAAGCUAGAAUGGUGGGAGUCACAGGAAGACAAACACUCGGUUUCCACACAUCUUGUUUCAGUUCAUUCAUUUAAUACACAUAAUUCAUAAUCAAAGACCUCCUUUUAAAAUCACUUAGAAAUGUAAAUAAACUUGCCUUCUCUGUUACAUUGCAAGAUCUAUGCAUUCUAGAUUUUUCCAUCGAAAAAACGGACAACACUUCCCUUUUUUUUGGUAUAGUUUAGGUUACUGUUCUGUCAAAACAAUAGUUAAGUUCUUGAGACGAUUCCACAUCACACCUUAACUCAUAGUCAUGACAGCCUCUAACCAGUUGGCGCAUUAAUAAGCAUUAACCAUAGAAGAAGACGUGAAGGUCAUAUAAUUGUAGAAUUAUUUGAAGAACUGUACUAUUCACCCGUGGGUGACACAAUAGCAACAUUAUUGUCAUUGAGUAUAUCAUAUGCCAUUUAGGAAAAAGAAUACUUCUGUUAAAAAUAUAAUUGUCUACCAAAUUCUUUGUUCACACAUCAAAGUGCAAUUAUUUUGCAUAAUGAAUAGCUCAUUAAUGGAAGCUGUGGGAAUUUAAAGAAACUGGGGCACUAAACUCUACCCCAAGAAUUUAACUCUGCCCCAUG